GAUGAACGCUGGCGGUAUGCUUAACACAUGCAAGUCGAACGGACUCUUCGGAGUUAGUGGCGGACGGGUGAGUAACGCGUGAGAAUCUGGCUUUGGGUUCGGGACAACCACUGGAAACGGUGGCUAAUACCGGAUGUGCCGAGAGGUAAAAGAGAAAUUGCCUGGAGAUGAGCUCGCGUCUGAUUAGCUAGUUGGUGAGGUAAAGGCUCACCAAGGCAGCGAUCAGUAGCUGGUCUGAGAGGAUGACCGGCCACACUGGGACUGAGACACGGCCCAGACGCCUACGGGAGGCAGCAGUGGGGAAUUUUCCGCAAUGGGCGAAAGCCUGACGGAGCAAUACCGCGUGAGGGAAGAAGGCUCUUGGGUUGUAAACCUCUUUUCUUAGGGAAGAACAAAAUGACGGUACCUAAGGAAUCAGCAUCGGCUAACUCCGUG
rnacentral:rRNA from 1 species